UACAGAGGUCUCAAGCGUUUGUUCGGAUUCAUUGGGCGUAAAGGGUGCGUAGGCGGCGCGGUAAGUCGGGUGUGAAAUCUCGGAGCUUAACUCCGAAACUGCAUUCGAUACUGCCGUGCUUGAGGACUGGAGAGGAGACUGGAAUUUACGGUGUAGCGGUGAAAUGCGUAGAUAUCGUAAGGAAGACCAGUGCGAAGGCGGGUCUCUGGACAGUUCCUGACGCUGAGGCACGAAGGUCAGGGGAGCAAACGGG
rnacentral:rRNA from 1 species